UCUAACAUGUGCGCGAGUCAUUGGGAUUUUUUUAAACCUAAAGGCGCAAUGAAAGUGAAGGUCGUUCCUUAGCGUCGACCGAGGGAGGAUGGCUCGCGUCACGAUGCGAGCCCGCACUCCCGGGGCGUCUCGUGCUCAUUGCGAGCAGAGGCGCACCCAGAGCGUACACGUUGGGACCCGAAAGAUGGUGAACUAUGCCUGGUCAGGACGAAGUCAGGGGAAACCCUGAUGGAGGUCCGUAGCGAUUCUGACGUGCAAAUCGAUCGUCGGAACUGGGUAUAGGGGCGAAAGACUAAUCGAACCAUCUAGUAGCUGGUUCCCUCCGAAGUUUCCCUCAGGAUAGCUGGCACUCGCUUGAGCGAGUCUCAUCUGGUAAAGCGAAUGAUUAGAGGCCUUGGGGCCGAAACGACCUCAACCUAUUCUCAAACUUUAAAUGGGUGAGAUCUCUGGCUUGCUUGAACGUUGAAGCCACGAGAGCAAAAUUUAAAUGCGAUGGAUCAGAGUGCCAAGUGGGCCAAUUU
rnacentral:rRNA from 1 species